rnacentral:lncRNA from 10 species
UGGAAAUAUUGGUUAUUCUGUCUGAUAUUACAUGAAGGUCAGAUGCCCUCCAUGCAACCAUGAGGUCGGAUGGCAGUUUGAUGCUGAACCAGCAAACAAGGCCUACUCAGCAUGAAACUAUGAGUAUAAAAACCUUUAUGAUGACCUACCUCCACUUGGAUCAAUGAAGAGGGCUCUAUCUGGAAGGCUUAUCCCUGUUCCAUGUUGCA